UAUGUGAUCGUCUCUCGCAUAUCAAUAAGCGGAGGAAAAGAAACUAACAAGGAUUCCCCUAGUAACGGCGAGUGAAGCGGGAAGAGCUCAAAUUUGAAAUCUUAAAGGGUUUCCCUUUACGAAUUGUAGUUUAAAGAAGUGUUUUCUGUUGAGGUUUUGGUAAAAGUUCUUUGGAAUAGGACAUCAUAGAGGGUGAGAAUCCCGUAUUUGACCUUUACUUUCAACUUUGUGAUACACUUUCAAAGAGUCGGAUUGUUUGGGAAUGCAGUCCAAAAUGGGUGGUAAAUUUCAUCUAAAGCUAAAUAUUGGCGAGAGACCGAUAGCGAACAAGUACCGUGAGGGAAAGAUGAAAAGAACUUUGAAAAGAGAGUUAAACAGUACGUGAAAUUGUCAAAAGGGAAGCGUUUGACACCAGUGUUGUUUUUCUGAAAAUCAAUUAAAGAACUGUUUAUGCUAAGCUGUUUAGACUUUAUCAGCUAACUGUUUAGUUUUGAGCUUUUCUUUAAUGCACUUUUCAGUUAACAAGUCAACAUCAAUUUCUUUUGCUGUAAAAAAGCUUGAGGAAGGUGGCUUGAGAUUCGUCUUAAGUGUUUAUAGCCUCUUGCCUAUGCAGUCGGAGAGAUUGAGGUCUGCAGCGUAGAUCCUUCGGGGCUAAAUGCAUUUGUGCUAAGUUAUAGCAUUUUAUAGACAACUUGUUGACUAUGAUUUGUCUUGUAGCUUACUCGCUUAUGUUAUUUUACCUACGCUUAGGAUGUUGAAGACUCUACAGAGAUA
rnacentral:rRNA from 1 species